rnacentral:rRNA from 1 species
AUUGAACGCUGGCGGCAUGCCUUACACAUGCAAGUCGAACGGCAGCACGGGAGCAAUCCUGGUGGCGAGUGGCGAACGGGUGAGUAAAGUAUCGGAACGUGCCCAGUCGUGGGGGAUAACGUAGCGAAAGUUACGCUAAUACCGCAUACGAUCCAUGGAUGAAAGCGGGGGAUCGCAAGACCUCGCGCGAUUGGAGCGGCCGAUAUCAGAUUAGGUAGUUGGUGGGGUAAAGGCUCACCAAGCCGACGAUCUGUAGCUGGUCUGAGAGGACGACCAGCCACACUGGGACUGCGACACGGCCCAGACUCCUACGGGAGGCAGCAGUGGGGAAUUUUGGACAAUGGGCGCAAGCCUGAUCCAGCCAUGCCGCGUGCAGGAUGAAGGCCUUCGGGUUGUAAACUGCUUUUGUACGGAACGAAAAGGUUUGACUUAAUACGUUGGACUCAUGACGGUACCGUAAGAAUAAGCACCGGCUAACUACGUGCCAGCCGCCGCGGUAA